rnacentral:tRNA from 1 species
AUUUAUAUAGUUUAUAUAAAACAUUACAUUUUCAUUGUAAAAUUAAACUAAGUUUUAUAAAUA